rnacentral:rRNA from 1 species
AGACGAAUCAUCUGGAAAGAUGAAUCAAAGAAGGUAAUAAUCCUGUAGUCGAAAAUGUUGUCUCUCUUGAGUGGAUCCUGAGUACGACGGAGCACGUGAAAUUCCGUCGGAAUCUGGGAGGACCAUCUCCUAAGGCUAAAUACUCUCUAGUGACCGAUAGUGAACCAGUACCGUGAGGGAAAGGUGAAAAGCACCCCGGAAGGGGAGUGAAAUAGAACCUGAAACCGUGUGCUUACAAGUAGUCAGAGCCCGUUAAUGGGUGAUGGCGUGCCUUUUGUAGAAUGAACCGGCGAGUUACGAUUUGAUGCAAGGUUAAGCAGUAA